rnacentral:rRNA from 1 species
AAGCUCGUAGUUGAAUUUCGGGAUUAGUACGUCGGUCGUGCCUUAGGUACGUACUGGUAUUACUGGUUCCUACCUUCUGACGAACCAUCAUGUCAUUAAUUUGGUGUGGUGGGGAAUCAGGACUGUUACUUUGAAAAAAACUUAGAGUGUUUAAAAGCAGGCUCGCGCUUGAAUACAUUAGCAUGGAAUAAUGAAAUAGGACGUUGAUCCUAUUUUGUUGGUUUCUAGGAUUGACGUAAUGAUUAAUAGGGAUAGUUGGGU